UAGCCGUAAACGAUACUCGCUAGGUGUCGGCCACGGUGCGACCGUUGUCGGUGCCGUAGGGAAGCCGUGAAGCGAGCCACCUGGGAAGUACGGCCGCAAGGCUGAAACUUAAAGGAAUUGGCGGGGGAGCACAACAACGGGUGGAGCUUGCGGUUAAUUGGAUUCAACGCCGGAAAUCUUACCGGGACCGACAGCAACAUGAAGGCCAAGCUGAAGACUUUGCCGGAUUAGCUGAGAGGAGGUGCAUGGCGUAGUCGUGU
rnacentral:rRNA from 1 species